CCAUGCGGAUCAUCUCAACGACAGAAUCGUUGAGCCUCUCUCCGACUGUGUCGUUGAGAAUAAAACCCUUUGGUGGUUUCUCAGUCAACACUGUCGUUGAAAAUAAAACAAUAAUUAAACAUGCUCUCCACAAUUAGGAAAGCAUAAACUGUUCACCCAAAAAAAAAGGGAAGAUCUGAUUUUUACCAGUAAUAAGACUACAGCAUACUAAAUGACACAAGAUGUUCUUUCUCUAUUACCUCUUACAUUUGACAUAAAAGCAGGAAAAGGUUUAACAGUCUAUGCCUACAACAUAGAUCUCCAGGACUAAAAGUGCAAAAAAUUGCAAUCAGUAUAUCACAAGUAUUAUAACACACGCAUCUAAUCUGCUUCAGUGGCGAGAACUGGGUGAAUCCUCUCAAACAUUAAUCAGGAACUAGGCAUACCUAAUGAGCGUCAAGCUGAUACAGUAGAUGUACAGAAGAAUUUA